UACGUAGGGUGCAAGCGUUUAAUCGGAAUUACUGGGCGUAAAGCGUGCGCAGGCGGUCCGUUAAGACAGAUGUGAAAUCCCCGGGCUUAACCUGGGAACUGCAUUUGUGACUGCAUCGCUGGAGUGCGGCAGAGGGGGAUGGAAUUCCGCGUGUAGCAGUGAAAUGCGUAGAUAUGCGGAGGAACACCGAUGGCGAAGGCAAUCCCCUGGGCCUGCACUGACGUCAUGCACGAAAGCGUGGGGAGCAAACAGG
rnacentral:rRNA from 1 species